CCUACUGCUGUGAAGACAAAUCUCAGUUUUGGACAUUAUUUUCUUUCUGGACAAUUUAUUAAUCACUGUGUGUGAAAACCAAAACUCACACAGCAUCCAAACAGCAGACGUUUGUGGCACUACUGCUGGUGCUUCUGCUCCAUCUGAUCCCUCUUCUUCCUGUUGCCCUGGUGCCUGAGCCAGCUGACUGCUGGGGCUGUCCCUCCGUGCUGCUGAGGUUAUUCUUUGAAGAAUUAAGUGACAUGUAACCGACCUGUAAGAAGUGGUAAGGAGUGGUUACCCUUGAUGUCCAGCAGUCAGUGGUAAGGCAAACUGCAAUAGCUCUUUGGACUCUUUCCCGCACUGAAGCCUGUGUACUCUUGUACAGUUGUGGAAUAAGUGAUCUUGAAAGGAUUUUCCUGCUUGGAAUUGUGUACAUUGGAUUUAGAUUAUUGCUAGAAUUUCUUAAACCUCUGUCCUCCACGAUCGAAAAUGGCUGGAAAUCGGUGGCAAUCAUUUUAGCCAAUGCAAUAUCAAAUUGGCCUUGUUUUGCUUAAGGCAUAGACUUUGGUAUAAACUUGUCCAUAGAAGACUGCGUUGCUGUGGAUCACGGAGUAGGUCUACUUGACUGAGAGAUCCGCUAGUUUCUCGACGCUCCGCUACAGCUAGCGUCACAGUUGGGUGCACAGUUCGCAUGUGUAGGUUAUGCGUAGAACCGGCUUUAGGAUAUUUUGUUUUUGCAAAUUCUACACUGUGCUUUAACAUUGUCUACAUUAUUAAAAUGCAUCCAAAUGCUACUGUGCUUCCGGCUCAUUUCCCAGCUGUUGUUUUCACAGCUGUCCUUCCUCUCUCGCCUUGGCUGCUAAGUGUGUGACUGUGAGUGAGUUGGCUCAGCCCUCCCUCACUCAUCUUUGUUUCAUUGGUUGACACUGCGUGUCUGAUUGACAGGAACAACCGGUGAGGCUGUUAGUCUGAGCAGACAGAAUGAAUGUGUGCGUGUUUAAGCAUUUGGGCCUAUAUUAUUUUAUUAAUGUUUUCGUUAUUUGAAUUAGUUCAUUUUAUUCAUUUAAAUCUUUUGAGUAUUUAUACCUUAAUUUUUUAAUUUUUUUAAACAAAUAGAUACGGCUCUUCUGAUAUGCGAGCCGACUCCCAGCGUUCACCUACAAGACUCGGCUCGUUCGCAAAGGACCCAUCACUAGCGUGCGCCAUCGUGUGCAAUUUGAUUUUGUCCCCCCACACCACAUAUGUCAGAGUCAAGGCCCGCGGGCCACAUCCGGCCCGCGAGAAGGUUUUUUACGGCCCCUGGGAUGAUCUUGAUUUAUUAUUAGAACCGGCCCGCAGACCGCAGCAAGCCGGCAGCCCGCAGAUCUUUUACACGCACCAAUACUACAUUUCCCACAAUGCAACGGUGACGCACCGAGCAGUAGGCUGCUUCAUUUCAAUAUUUAUUGGCACAGCAGUCGUCAGCAUCACAGUAAAAUUAACUUUCAGAUACCCAUCAAAAAUGGCAAAACGGAAGGUGGACACUGAGAACCGGGGUUUCAAACAAGGUGGGAGUCGGAGUAUAUGUUCACGGAGGUAGCUGGAAAACCUGUGUGUCUUCUGUGUGGAGAAAGUGUGGCGGUACUGAAAGAGUAUAAUCUGAGACGACAUUAUGAAACGAAACACGCGGACAAAAACAAGAAUAUGGACAUGGAACAAAGGCUACAAAAGGCAGAGGAAUUAAAACGAGGCCUCAAAUCUCGACAGGCUCUGUUCAAAAAAGCCAAAUCACAAGGUAUUUCAAUCCAAUUAUAUUUUAAAAAUAUUUCAGUUGAGUGGAUGAUAGAAAAUUGCUAUUAUUGUUUUUUUCUUUGAAGUAAAUUUAGCCCACUUUUGCUAAAAUAGAAAAUAUAGGCUACUGAUGGUGCCUUGAAUACCGGUUUCUUUCAUUUAAUGUUCAUGUUAUGGGGAUUUUUAUAUAAAGGAAAUUUGUCUUUUG